AGAGCGAACGCUGGCGGCAGGCUUAACACAUGCAAGUCGAGCGCCCCGCAAGGGGAGCGGCAGACGGGUGAGUAACGCGUGGGAACGUACCUUUUGGUUCGGAACAACACAGGGAAACUUGUGCUAAUACCGGAUAAGCCCUUACGGGGAAAGAUUUAUCGCCGAAAGAUCGGCCCGCGUCUGAUUAGCUAGUUGGUGAGGUAACGGCUCACCAAGGCGACGAUCAGUAGCUGGUCUGAGAGGAUGAUCAGCCACAUUGGGACUGAGACACGGCCCAAACUCCUACGGGAGGCAGCAGUGGGGAAUAUUGGACAAUGGGCGCAAGCCUGAUCCAGCCAUGCCGCGUGAGUGAUGAAGGCCCUAGGUUGUAAAAGCUCUUUUAACGGGAAAGAUAAUGACGGUACCCGUAGAAUAAGCCCCGGCUAAACGUUCGUAGCCAGCAGCCGC
rnacentral:rRNA from 1 species